rnacentral:rRNA from 1 species
GACGAACGCUGGCGGCGUGCUUAACACAUGCAAGUCGAACGAUGAACUUGGAGCUUGCUCUGGGGGAUUAGUGGCGAACGGGUGAGUAACACGUGAGUAACCUGCCCUGGACUCUGGGAUAACUUCGAGAAAUCGGAGCUAAUACCGGAUAGGACCUUGCACCGCAUGGUGUGGGGUGGAAAGUUUUUCGGUUUGGGAUGGACUCGCGGCCUAUCAGCUUGUUGGUGAGGUAAUGGCUCACCAAGGCGUCGACGGGUAGCCGGCCUGGGAGGGUGACCGGCCACACUGGGACUGGGACACGGCCCAGACUCCUACGGGAGGCAGCAGUGGGGAAUAUUGCACAAUGGGCGCAAGCCUGAUGCAGCGACGCCGCGUGAGGGACGACGGCCUUCGGGUUGUAAACCUCUUUUAGCAGGGAAGAAGCGAAAGUGACGGUACCUGCAGAAAAAGCACCGGCUAACUACGUGCCAGCCGCCGCAGUAACAC